UACAAUGAAGAGUUUGAUCCUGGCUCAGGAUGAACGCUAGCGGCAGGCUUAACACAUGCAAGUCGAGGGGUAACAGGAGUGCUUGCACUCGCUGACGACCGGCGCACGGGUGCGUAACGCGUAUAGAACCUACCUUUUACUGAGGGAUAGCCUUUAGAAAUGAAGAUUAAUACCUCAUGGUAUUGUAAACUGGCAUCGGUUUAUAAUUAAAGAUUUAUUGGUAAAAGAUGGCUAUGCGUCUUAUUAGCUAGAUGGUAAGGUAACGGCUUACCAUGGCAACGAUAAGUAGGGGCCCUGAGAGGGGGAUCCCCCACACUGGUACUGAGACACGGACCAGACUCCUACGGGAGGCAGCAGUGAGGAAUAUUGGACAAUGGAGGGGACUCUGAUCCAGCCAUGCCGCGUGCAGGAAGACGGCCCUAUGGGUUGUAAACUGCUUUUCUGCAAGAAGAAACCUUAGUACGUGUACUAAGCUGACGGUACUGCAGGAAUAAGCACCGGCUAACUCCGUGCCAGCAGCCGCGGUAAUACGGAGGGUGCAAGCGUUAUCCGGAAUCAUUGGGUUUAAAGGGUCCGUAGGCGGACUAAUAAGUCAGAGGUGAAAUC
rnacentral:rRNA from 1 species